rnacentral:misc_RNA from 1 species
AACUGAUACUACCUGCGGGAACCUGCGGAAGGAUCAUUAACAAAUCCAAUAAUUGCAGGAGAACACUUGUUCUUUUUGCAAAUAUUAAUCCGCUGGCCGCUAUUUAUAGCAGCUGGCUGUGAUAUAAAUGCGUGUUAUGUUGACAGUGUGUGUAUAAAUUAAUAUUGACAACUUUCAACAACGGAUCUCU